CCCGGUGCUGGAAGGUUAAGGAAGGGCGUUAGCGUAAGCGAAGCGUUUGACUGAAGCCCCAGUAAACGGCGGCCGUAACUAUAACGGUCCUAAGGUAGCGAAAUUCCUUGUCGGGUAAGUUCCGACCUGCACGAAUGGUGUAACGAUCUGGGCACUGUCUCAGCCACGAGCUCGGUGAAAUUGUAGUAUCGGUGAAGAUGCCGAUUACCCGCAAUGGGACGAAAAGACCCUGUGAACCUUUACUAUAACUUCGUAUUGACUUUGAGUAAACAAUGUGUAGGAUAGGUGGGAGGCUAUGAAGCUGGCACGCUAGUGUUGGUGGAGCCAACGUUGAAAUACCACCCUUUGUUUACUUGGAGCCUAACUUCUACGGAAGGACAUUGCGUGGUGGGUAGUUUGACUGGGGUGGUCGCCUCCAAAAGAGUAACGGAGGCUUUCAAAGGUACCCUCAGCACGCUUGGUAACCGUGCGUAGAGUGUAAUGGCAUAAGGGUGCUUGACUGUGAGACCUACAAGUCGAUCAGGUGCGAAAGCAGGACAUAGUGAUCCGGUGGUUCCGUAUGGAAGGGCCAUCGCUCAUAGGAUAAAAGGUACUCCGGGGAUAACAGGCUAGUCUCCCCCAAGAGCUCACAUCGACGGGGAGGUUCGGCACCUCGAUGUCGGCUCGUCACAUCCUGGGGCUAUCUGCCGUGGGUGUCGGAGACUUGAGAGGCUUUGUCCCUAGUACGAGAGGACCGGGAUGAACGUACCUCUGGUGGAGCUGUUGUCGCGCCAGCGGCAGUGCAGCAUAGCUAUGUACGGACGGGAUAACCGCUGAAGGCAUCUAAGCGGGAAACCCCCCUCGAAACGAGGUCUCCCUUGAGGGCCGUGGAAGACGACCACGUCGAUAGGCCGGAGGUGCAAGCGCGGCAACGCGCUGAGCUGACCGGUACUAAUCGCCCGAUAGACUUGAUCGUCUCUC
rnacentral:rRNA from 1 species